CAACAAAAAGUUAAAGAA
rnacentral:snRNA from 1 species